UAGGGAAUAUUGGACAAUGGCUGAAAAGCUGAUCCAGCCAUCCCGCGUGAAGGCAGAAGGUCCUAUGGAUUGUAAACUUCUUUUCUCUGGGAAGAAAAAGCUUGAUUCAUCAAGCCCUGACGGUACCAGAGGAAUAAGCACCGGCUAACUCCGUGCCAGCAGCCGCGGUAAUACGGAGGGUGCAAGCGUUAUCCGGAUUCACUGGGUUUAAAGGGUGCGUAGGCGGGCUUGUAAGUCAGUGGUGAAAGCCCGGAGCUUAACUCCGGAACUGCCAUUGAUACUGCAGGUCUUGAGUACACUUGAGGUGGGCGGAAUACAUCAUGUAGUGGUGAAAUACUUAGAUAUGAUGUAGAACACCGAUUGCGAAGGCAGCUCACUAAAUUGUAACUGACGCUGAGGCACGAAAGCGUGGGGAUCAAACAGG
rnacentral:rRNA from 1 species